rnacentral:rRNA from 1 species
UACGUAUGGUGCAAGCGUUAAUCGGAAUUACUGGGCGUAAAGCGUGCGCAGGCGGUUGUGCAAGACAGAUGUGAAAUCCCCGGGCUCAACCUGGGAAUUGCAUUUGUGACUGCACGGCUAGAGUGUGUCAGAGGGGGGUAGAAUUCCACGUGUAGCAGUGAAAUGCGUAGAGAUGUGGAGGAAUACCGAUGGCGAAGGCAGCCCCCUGGGAUAACACUGACGCUCAUGCACGAAAGCGUGGGGAGCAAACAGG